rnacentral:rRNA from 1 species
GAUGAACGCUGGCGGCGUGCCUAAUACAUGCAAGUCGAGCGAACAGACGAGGAGCUUGCUCCUCUGACGUUAGCGGCGGACGGGUGAGUAACACGUGGAUAACCUACCUAUAAGACUGGGAUAACUUCGGGAAACCGGAGCUAAUACCGGAUAAUAUAUUGAACCGCAUGGUUCAAUAGUGAAAGACGGUUUUGCUGUCUCUUAUAGAUGGAUCCGCGCCGCAUUAGCUAGUUGGUAAGGUAACGGCUUACCAAGGCAACGAUGCGUAGCCGACCUGAGAGGGUGAUCGGCCACACUGGAACUGAGCCACGGUCCAGACUCCUACGGGAGGCAGCAGUAGGGAAUCUUCCGCAAUGGGCGAAAGCUUGACGGAGCAACGCCGCGUGAGUGAUGAAGGUCUUCGGAUCGUAAAACUCUGUUAUUAGGGAAGAACAAAUGUGUAAGUAACUAUGCACGUCUUGACGGUACCUAAUCAGAAAGCCACGGCUAACUACGUG